rnacentral:rRNA from 1 species
CCUACGGGCGGCAGCAGUGAGGAAUAUUGGUCAAUGGACGAGAGUCUGAACCAGCCAAGUCGCGUGAAGGAUGACUGCCCUAUGGGUUGUAAACUUCUUUUAUAAAGGAAUAAAACGAGGCACGUGUGCCUUUUUGCAUGUACUUUAUGAAUAAGCAUCGGCUAACUCCGUGCCAGCAGCCGCGGUAAUACGGAGGAUCCGAGCGUUAUCCGGAUUUAUUGGGUUUAAAGGGAGCGUAGACGGGUUGUUAAGUCAGUUGUGAAAGUUUGCGGCUCAACCGUAAAAUUGCAAUUGAUACUGGCAGUCUUGAGUACAGUUGAGGUAGGCGGAAUUCGUGGUGUAGCGGUGAAAUGCUUAGAUAUCACGAAGAACCCCGAUUGCGAAGGCAGCUUACUAGACUGUGACUGACAUUGAUGCUCGAAGGUGUGGGUAUCGAACAGGAUUAGAUACCCUUGUAGUC